UUUCCGUAGGUGAACCUGCGGAAGGAUCAUUCAUAAUAAAGUAUUUUAUGGCACUUUUUAAAAAUCCAUAUCCACCUUGUGUGCAAUGUUAGAUCUCUUCAAUCUUGGCGAGAUUUUUAUACAUCAACUCAUUCUUUAACUAAUUUGUCUGAAAAAUAUUAUGAAUACUUAAUUCAAAAUACAACUUUCAACAACGGAUCUCUUGGCUCUC
rnacentral:misc_RNA from 1 species